UGGAAAUUCAUAUUUUUGUAGUUUCUAAAGCAAGUGUAACACCCUCCUGUGCUCUGUCUACCGACACAACUGGAGAAACUGUGACCAUCAAAAAAAUAUUCCCUCAUUCAAGAUGUCCGAGACCUCUUGGAAAGUGGUGCUGAACAACCUCUCCCCUCUGAAUUAAUAAUAUGCCUAAAAGAGACAGUGGUCUUUGGGUUCAGGUUACGGUAGACUGUCGACCUUUGAAAUGGAAUGCAGCCCGCGGCAGACAGUUGACAGUGGAGCGCGGCCUGAUUGUCACCAAAGUGGCAUCACGUUUUUACGUGUGGGGCCUAUCACAGAGAUCAGCAGAUUGACAAGUGAGUGAGGGGGUGCCGCCACCAUUCAUUCAUUCAUUCAUUCAUACUGUGCAUCCUCAAAGGUAGGUAAUGAACACAAGUACUGAUAUCAAUAUAUGCUAAAGGAACCUGAAUAAUGAAGUUAGUUAGUACUGUCUAAGCCAUCGUUCGUUAAUUAUUUAUCAUCAGGAGUUUAUAGGUUUGUGCCCAAUGACCUCCACCCAUCCAGCCCACCACCAGACCUCCACCCAUCCAGCCCACCACCAGUCCUCCACCCAUCCAGCCCACCACCAGACCUCCACCCAUCCAGCCCACCACCAGACCUCCACCCAUCCAGUCCUCCACCCAUCCAGCCCACCACCAGACCUUCACACAUCCAGCCCACCACCAGUCCUCCACCCAUCCAGC